UACGGAGGGGACUAGCGUUGUUCGGAUUUACUGGGCGUAAAGCGCACGUAGGCGGAUUGUUAAGUCGGGGGUGAAAUCCUGGAGCUCAACUUCAGAAUUGCCUUCGAUACUGGCUUUCUAGAGGCUGGAAGAGGUUAGUGGAAUUCCCAGUGUAGAGGUGAAAUUCGUAGAUAUCAGGAGGAACACCGGUGGCGAAGGCGGCUACCUGGACACUAACUGACGCUGAGACGCGAAAGCGUGGGGGAGCAAACAGG
rnacentral:rRNA from 1 species